rnacentral:lncRNA from 1 species
CUUGUGAUAUACAAACUAUAUAGUAAUUUAAUUAAUAUAUUCUCGACAAGUUUAUCUAAUUAACAACAAUAUAGUUUUAUACUCCGAUCCAAUGUUUAUAUAAAUAAACUUUAAUGUGAUUUAAUUGCUAUCAUCAAUAUGUUUCUAAAUUAUAAAUUGUUUAGUUGAACCACGUCAUAUACAAUUAUAGUAGAUGCUCUCACCUUUUAAUUUCUUUUGUAGGCU